CACCAGUGAUGCAGAGGUGACCAAGAAGAAGGAAAUAAUUUGGGCCCAACAUGAAGUGAUCUUGAGUUGGAUCCUUACAGCCUGCUCAAGAGAAAGUUGCAAGAGAUCCUUGAAUUCUUCAGGCCAUUAGCACUACUUGAUGGUUCCUUCAGAGAGACACCACCAAUAUCUGAAAGGGAUCUUCCAUUGAGAAAUAUAUACAGACAAACACACAAAUGUAUACAUUAAUAUUUGAAAAAAGAAACAGAUACAGCGAUGGAGAAGAAUGGUUCUGCAAUCUGCAAGCAACUUUCUCAAAAGCAAACCAAAAUUAGAACUUAUGAUGAGCUGAGUUGUUUCAAUCUAUCAAGGGAGAAUCAGAUUGUGGCCCAAUUCUAAAAGGCAAGACAAAUGGUGGUGUUUUAUGCCCCAACAAUGGCGGUCGUCAUUAGAUCGAGUGUGAUGCUGAAUGGUUGAAAUGUUGGAGUCAUCGAACAGCACUACACACCCAUGCUAACUAGAAGUUCUUGUCACCAGCAGAUCCAGGUACUAACUAUGAACUAAUUGAGGUGGAGAGUGUGCAUCUUAGGAGUUAGCACAUGCAUGGCUAUGAUACCAUGAGACUUCAUUCGAAAGCCAUGCCUAAAUCCUUCAUAAUCAAGAUCAUAUCCUGUAAUUGUCAGUCCAUUGAAGUGUUCCUUCAGCAACUGUGAUUACUUCUGAGGCUGGCAAAUUCCACUGGAUCGAACAGUUUUCACUGUGACAAAAGCAGAUCAAGGCUUGAAGAUUGCAUCUCAAGAAAUCUUUUUCUUUUCAUAGCUUUAAAGGUCUUAAUCCUAAAGACUGGUCUUCAAGCAGCAAUGUGAUUGAUUCUCUAUGUUUGUUGGAAGGCUUGCAUCUCAGAAAAAGACUGAAAGAGGCUGCCUCCUUUUAUUCCUUGAUCUCAUUAAAGGCGCAUUAUACUUGCUG